UAACAGAAAUCAAAACAAUUAAGGCAGCAGCAAUAACGUUUCGUGUCAAGUGCAAAGUGCGUUCGCGUCGCGUUUCUGCCUGCUGCACUCGCUCUCUAGCCGUCUCACUCCCGCGCGCGCGCUAGCUCUAGCUCUGUGUGUGUGUGUGUGUGUGAAAAAAGAAAAAAAAAACGCAAGCGUAAUCAGCGUGCAACAGCUCAGCUGACUUUCAAUACUGUGAAUAGAACAUUCAAUAAAUCAUUUACAAUGCACCAUCGCUACAGUCCAGCGCCGCCUGCUGCACAUCAGCAACAGCAACAUCAGCAGCAACAACAACUACAGCAACAGCAAUCAUUUGCUGGUGGCGCAACAGGACUUGGUCUCAACCACAUGCGUGGACCACCAGCUAGUUCACCACAAUUGCCACCACAGAUGCCGCUGCGUUCACAAAAUUAUGCAAAUGGCUCAUCUAGUGCCGCCGCCACACAACACUCAAAUCAGCGCAGCGCUUUUCCCGGCGCACCGUUAACCGCUUCAGCCGUUGCUCUUAAAGGCGCAUUACCGCAGCGUCCACCGGCCAUGACUAGCCCAGCUGCUGCUGCUGCCGGCGCCGCUCUAGCGGCCGGCGCACCCUACCGCGGUGCCACCAGCUGGACCCCCCAGGGCUAUGCCCCAGCUGCCGCCGCAGCCGCCGCUGCCGUCGCCCAGCAGGCCUAUCGCUACACGGCCCCGCUGCCCCAGCCGGCCUAUGCCGCCUAUACGCCGCACACGGCCACCACACCGGCCACAACCACGGCUUACCAGUGGGUUAAUCAGCUCAGCACUUUUGAGUACGGCCAGCGUGUGCCAACUGCUGCCUCACCGAGCAACACAAACUCGAGCAGCUCAUCCAACACUGGCUCCCAGAGCGGCACAUUGAGCACCAGUUUGAGUAACACAACAAAUACAAACACCACAAUGGGUCCCAACGGCACCGUACAGAAUCAAAAUCAACAGGGCGGCGAGCAGUUGUCAAAGACAAAUCUCUACAUACGCGGACUGCAGCAGAAUACAACUGAUAAGGAUCUAGUGAAUAUGUGUGCACAAUACGGAACAAUAAUAUCAACCAAGGCUAUUCUAGACAAAACAACAAACAAAUGUAAAGGUUAUGGAUUCGUCGAUUUCGAGCAGCCGGCAUAUGCUGAGGGCGCCGUCAAGGGACUUCAGGCGAAGGGAGUGCAAGCUCAGAUGGCCAAAGUGGGUAUCUGGGUGCUUCAUAGGCCGGCCAUUCAACAGGAACAGGAUCCUACAAAUUUGUAUAUAGCAAAUUUGCCGCCACACUUUAAGGAAACUGAUCUAGAGGCAAUGCUAUCGAAAUAUGGACAAGUUGUUUCGACCAGAAUAUUGCGUGAUCAGCAAAUGAACUCCAAGGGCGUUGGCUUCGCUCGCAUGGAGAGCCGCGAAAAGUGCGAGCAGAUUAUUCAGAUGUUUAACGGUAACACAAUACCGGGUGCCAAAGAUCCGCUCUUGGUGAAAUUCGCCGACGGUGGUCCCAAAAAGAAGAAUCUCUUCAAGACGCCCGAUCCGAACGCACGCGCGUGGCGCGAGGGCAUCUCCGCCGAGGGCAUACCCGUGGCCUACGAUCCCAGCAUGCAGCAGAAUGGCGUAAGCGUCAACGUGGGCACUCCCAUUGGCAUGCCCUACUCGCGCUUCGGCGCCCCCCAGGUGGGCGGCUAUCCGGUCGCCGGCUCGCAGUGGAUUCCCGGCUACAUGAUGACCCAGCCCAUCACUCAGGUCGAUGAUCAGUAUUCGUCUGCCCUGCAGUAUAUGCAAAUGGCCGCCGCUCCCCAGCUGGGCGUCACCUCGUACAAGCCCGAGGCGGUCAACCAGGUGCAGCCUCGCGGCAUCUCCAUGAUGGUCAGUGGCGACGCAACCGUGCCAUACGGAACCAUGAUGCCCCAGUUGGCCACCCUGCAAAUUGGCAACUCUAAUUUUUCUCCAUCGUUACAGUAUAUUAGUCCAACUUAUCCAUAUUAUGCACCACCACCAACUAUUAUACCAACAAUGCCAAUGACAGAUUCCGAACAGGCUAGCACAGCUGCAUCACCCGACGAGGCAUACACACAGUAUCCACAUCAAGCCGCUCCCAAAUAGGUCUUUGCGAGUAUAGUUACUAAGCAGCCAAAGCACUGGUAAUACAUACUAGAACAAGUAAUUCUAUAGUACCGCCGUCGAGUACUAUAUAGAAGGGAAAGGAGAUCGUGGAUGCAACUAAAGUGAGGAGGAAAGAUGUAAGGAGGAGCAAGUGGAGAAGCAGAAGGACAUGAGGCAGGACAACAAUAACAGGAGCCAGCUGGAUUGGUCAAAGAGCAAGAGCAAGAGUGAACUAAGCAAACCAGAAGAAAAACAAAGAAAA